rnacentral:rRNA from 1 species
ACUCAAAUGAAUAGACGGGGACUUGCACAAGCGGAGGAACAUGUGGUUCAAUUCGACGGUAAACGAAAAACCUUACCAGGGUUGGAAAUUUAGCUGAAGACUAGCAGAAACGUUAGUCGCCGCAAGGCAGUUAGACAGGUGCUGCAUGGUCGUCGUCAGUUCGUGGCUUGAGUUGUUCCCUUCAGUGGGGUAACGAACGCAACCCUCGUCGUGUGUUACAAGUGUCACGCGAGACUGCCCCCUUUCCGGGGGAGGAAGGUGAGGAUGACGCCAGAUCAGCAUGGCCCUUUGAUACCCUGGGCUACACACGUGUUACAAUGCCGACUACAACAGGAUGCGACGGGGAAACCCCGAGCCAACCCUUAGAAAAGUCGGCUAAGUUCGGAUAGGAGUCUGCAACUCGACUCCUUGAAGCUGGAUUCGCUAGUAAUCUCGGAUCAGCAAUGCCGAGGUGAAUACGUUCUCAAGUCUUGUACACACCGCCCGU